AACUCUUUAAUUCUCAUAUUAUACACAAACACACUCACACACACAAUAUACCACACUUUCAAGCUUCUCAUGGAGAUGGUUCGAAAGGUGGCGGUGGUGGCGGUGGUGAUAUUCGUUGGCCUAGCGGGAAUAUCGGUGGCGAUGGACGUGUGUGGCGUCAAUGAGGACGGUCUCACGGCGUGCAAGCCAUGGGUGACAAACCCAUGCCCUACUGAGCCACCGCCCGCUGUUUGUUGCGAUGACCUCUCGAAGGCCGACUUUGAUUGCUUUUGCAAAUAUAAACACUCUAUGUUGCUAUCCUCAUUUGGGAUCGAUCCUGAUCUUGCUCUUGCUUUGCCAGCCAAGUGCAGCAUCCCUAACACUCCCCCUUGCUCUUAAACAUCACUCAAAGAAAAUGAAAUUUCUAAGGGUCUAAGUGGAAUUAGAAUGUAAGAAGUCCAUGAUAUUGGGCCUCACUUAUCAUAUGUGUAUUUUCUCUUGUACUAAGGAAAAAAAAAAUGUAUUUUCUGCCUUUCAUUUCUACUAUUUUUCUUUAGUUCCACCAUCACUAGGAUGGAUUGUAAUAGCUACUUUAUCCACUUACGCUCGACUCGACUAAUUGUACUUUGUUAAAUAGAAUUGUUAUUUAUCUUUUCAGUUUGAA